UGGGGAAUAUUGGACAAUGGGCGCAAGCCUGAUCCAGCCAUGCCGCGUGAGUGAUGAAGGCCCUAGGGUUGUAAAGCUCUUUCACCGGUGAAGAUAAUGACGGUAACCGGAGAAGAAGCCCCGGCUAACUUCGUGCCAGCAGCCGCGGUAAUACGAAGGGGGCUAGCGUUGUUCGGAUUUACUGGGCGUAAAGCGCACGUAGGCGGACUUUUAAGUCAGGGGUGAAAUCCCGGGGCUCAACCCCGGAACUGCCUUUGAUACUGGAAGUCUUGAGUAUGGUAGAAGUGAGUGGAAUUCCGAGUGUAGAGGUGAAAUUCGUAGAUAUUCGGAGGAACACCAGUGGCGAAGGCGGCUCACUGGACCAUUACUGACGCUGAGGUGCGAAAGCGGGGGGAUCAAACAGG
rnacentral:rRNA from 1 species